GGGUGGUUGGGGGUUUAUGCGGUAGGGAUAGGGGUUUUUUAGGGAUUUUUCCGGAGUAGGGAGGGGAGAUUUGUGGUGGGGGUCACUAGUACAUAAUUGAGUUUAUGUAACACGUUUUAGUAACACUUUUUGAAAUGCAAAAUUAUUAGAUUUAUAAGUAACACUUUGGUAACUUUUUUUAGAAUGUAACACUCAAUGUAACACUAUUAUCAUAAGUAACAUUAUAAAGUAACACUUUUGAAAUAGGUAACAUUUUAGGGUAACACUAAACCAUUUUUUUUUUUUUUUUUUUGGAAAAAUAUGGUAACACUAAGUCACUAACCUUAUUUCUAUAUCACCCCUAGCAACAAAUGACAUUUUUGUCCUUUCUUUUUCUUUUUUCUCUGUUUUGGUUUCAGUUUUACCUUUUUACUUAAUGUCUUCUUCUCUCUCCUCUAAGGUGAGGCAAAACAAGCUGCGAAGGAAGAGGACGAAGCAGCUGGAGGACCCGCGUCACAGCCAAUAGCACCGGCGAGAUGGACCAACAAAAGAGCGGCAUCAACUGCAGAAAACACGCCACUUUUAACAAUAAAAAGCUGCGAAACUUCUUGGGUUUUUAUUGUUUCGUCAGUGUGGCGGCCAUAGCAAUGGGCCUGGUGAUCGAGGUAGAGAUGAUCGCAUUUCGAGCAGAAAUCAACCAACAUCUUAAGGGAAUUGUUAUAGGUUUUUAAAAAAGGUUCAUUAAUGGCGGACAUAACACAUGGGUGGAGCAGAGUUGUCCGCAUUUGAGGACUUUAUAGUCUGAACUCUGAAUAUUGAACAAUGUUCGAUCAAGUCCAGAACAAUUCAGAUAGUUGCUGGUACUGCAUCAUCUAUCAUGCUCAAGGGAUUGACAACUCAAUAUAUAGUCCACAGCAGUUUCAAGGUACACUGCAUUCUUCUCUCUGUGAUUAUUGACUAUAAGCCUGGUAAAUUGUAAAUUUAACAUCUCAUAAUGAACUUCAGACUAGGACUUGGUUCUAAUACUCUCCCUUGUUUCUGGUGUGUAUUUAUAAAUGAAGUUAUGCUCGCCCAUGACAAUGACCUAGUUGUAUAUCUAAGUAUGUUGUUCAACAUUCAAUUUGAUGACAGUUAUUAGCACAGCACACAUGUCAGUUAUCAUUGGCAUAUCUUUUUACUUGUUUUAUAAGUCAUUAAGUAGCUUGCAUAUGAAAACAUAUACCUUAAGAACCACUCAUGAAGUCUACACUUCUAGUGAACAUGUGUAGCAAGUAUCAUCUCAGUCUGUUUCUACUGAAGGCACAAACAGUACCACAAGUUUAUUUUUAAGAAGAGAUUUUUUUUUCUUCGCGUUAUUCAGAUCCAAACUUUAGAAUGAUCAGAGGAAAGGGUUGUUAUAAGCUGUAAUAUUGUCUAUUCUUCCAACUUAUAAGCUGUAGUAUUAAGCUGUUUCCUUAUAGCUGAAUUAAUGCAGAGAGAAGUAAAUUCUUGCCCACUUCUUCAUAGCAAGUAUAUGUCCUUAGGUUUUGAUGCUUGCUUGAUGCUACUGCUGCUGGUGUUGCCUGUUGCUGUUGGUCGGCUUAUGUGCUGCUGAUGUUCAGCUUCCGAGUUGCUGCUGUUCUGUUUCCGAGCUGCUGAUGUUCUGCUUUCGAGCUGCAAUUGUUUUGCACAUUGUAAUUUUUUAUUUAUUUGUUGUAAUUGUAAUAUUACAAGCAUUUAUUAAUAAAAUUAUCUAUGUUUUAUAUAUGUAUAUAUAAUGGUUUGUCUAUCAAUAUUACUUUUUUUUUUUUUUCCUUUUCUAGGCAUAAAGGGCACCAGUUCAAGGGAAGAACUUGUGCCCUUUAUCGACAUUAAGGGCA